rnacentral:hammerhead_ribozyme from 1 species
AUCCAGCUGACGAGUCCCAAAUAGGACGAAACGCACGUCAAACUGUAU